rnacentral:rRNA from 1 species
UACGUAGGGUGCAAGCGUUGUCCGGAAUUAUUGGGCGUAAAGAGCUCGUAGGCGGUCUGUCGCGUCUGCUGUGAAAACUCAGGGCUUAACCCUGAGCUUGCAGUGGGUACGGGCAGACUAGAGUGGCGGUAGGGGAGACUGGAAUUCCUGGUGUAGCGGUGAAAUGCGCAGAUAUCAGGAGGAACACCCGUGGGCGAAGGCGGUUCUCCUGGGACGG